rnacentral:sRNA from 1 species
UUGGGAGAUUAAGGAAGAAGACACUAUUUCA